rnacentral:rRNA from 1 species
GACAGCAGUAGCCACGGUAAUACGAAGGGGGCUAGCGUUGUUCGGAAUCACUGGGCGUAAAGCGCACGUAGGCGGACACUUAAGUCAGAGGUGAAAUCCCAAGGCUCAACCUUGGAACUGCCUUUGAUACUGGGUGUCUUGAGUUCGGGAGAGGUGAGUGGAACUGCGAGUGUAGAGGUGAAAUUCGUAGAUAUUCGCAAGAACACCAGUGGCGAAGGCGGCUCACUGGCCCGAUACUGACGCUGAGGCACGAAAGCGUGGGGAGCAAACAGGAUUAGAUACCCGAGUAGUCCCUGUCUCUUAUAC